rnacentral:rRNA from 1 species
AGCAGCCGCGGUAAUUCCAGCUCCAAUAGCGUAUAUUAAAGUUGUUGCAGUUAAAAAGCUCGUAGUUGAAUUUCGGGAUCAAUAUGUUGGUCGUGCCUCGGUACGUACCAGCUUAUUGGUUUCUCCUUUCUGAAGAACCAUGAUGUCAUUUAUUUGGUGUCGUGGGGAAUCAGGACUGUUACUUUGAAAAAAUUAGAGUGUUUAAAGCAGGCUCACGCUUGAAUACAUUAGCAUGGAAUAAUGAAAUAGGACGUUUGAUUCUAUUUUGUUGGUUUCUAGGAUCGACGUAAUGAUUAAUAGGGAUAGUUGGGGGCAUUAGUAUUCAAUUGUCAGAGGUGAAAUUCUUGGAUUUAUUGAAGACUAACUACUGCGAAAGCAUUUGCCAAGGAUGUUUUCAUUAAUCAAGAACGAAAGUUAGGGGAUCGAAGACGAUCAGAUACCGUCGUAGUC